ACUCCUACGGGAGGCAGCAGUGGGGAAUUUUGGACAAUGGGGGCAACCCUGAUCCAGCCAUGCCGCGUGAGUGAAGAAGGCCUUCGGGUUGUAAAGCUCUUUCGGCCGGAACGAAAUCGCGUACGUAAAUAACGUGCGUGGAUGACGGUACUGGAAGAAGAAGCACCGGCUAACUACGUGCCAGCAGCCGCGGUAAUACGUAGGGUGCGAGCGUUAAUCGGAACUACUGGGCGUAAAGCGUGCGUAGGCGGUUUUGUAAGUCAGAUGUGAAAUCCCCGGGCUUAACCUGGGAACUGCGUUUGAAACUACAGAGCUAGAGUGUGGCAGAGGGGGGUGGAAUUCCACGUGUAGCAGUGAAAUGCGUAGAUAUGUGGAGGAACACCGAUGGCGAAGGCAACCCCCUGGGCCGACACUGACGCUGAGGCMCGAAAGCGUGGGGAGCAAACAGGAUUAGAUACCCUGGUAGUCCACGCCCUAAACUAUGUCAACUAGUUGUCGGGAAAGCAAUUUCUUGGUAACGAAGCUAACGCGUGAAGUUGAUCGCCUGGGRAGUACGGUCGCAAGAUUAAAACUUAAAUGAAUUGACGGAWMUC
rnacentral:rRNA from 1 species